UACGUAGGGGGCGAGCGUUGUCCGGAUUUACUGGGCGUAAAACGCUUGUAGGUGGCCACGCCAAGUCGGAUGUGAAAUCUCCCGGCUUAACUGGGAGCGGUCAUUCGAUACUGGCGGGCUCGAGGCAGGUAGGGGGAAGCGGAAUUCCCAGUGUAGCGGUGAAAUGCGUAGAUAUUGGGAGGAACACCAGUGGCGAAGGCGGCUAUCUGGACCAACAUCGACGCUGAGGCACGAAAGCGUGGGGAUCAAACAGG
rnacentral:rRNA from 1 species